rnacentral:rRNA from 1 species
AAAGAACCCCGGCGAGGGGAGUGAAAAAGAACCUGAAACCGUGUACGUACAAGCAGUGGGAGCACGCUUAGGCGUGUGACUGCGUACCUUUUGUAUAAUGGGUCAGCGACUUAUAUUCUGUAGCAAGGUUAACCGAAUAGGGGAGCCGAAGGGAAACCGAGUCUUAACUGGGCGUUAAGUUGCAGGGUAUAGACCCGAAACCCGGUGAUCUAGCCAUGGGCAGGUUGAAGGUUGGGUAACACUAACUGGAGGACCGAACCGACUAAUGUUGAAAAAUUAGCGGAUGACUUGUGGCUGGGGGUGAAAGGCCAAUCAAACCGGGAGAUAGCUGGUUCUCCCCGAAAGCUAUUUAGGUAGCGCCUCGUGAAUUCAUCUCCGGGGGUAGAGCACUGUUUCGGCAAGGGGGUCAUCCCGACUUACCAACCCGAUGCAAACUGCGAAUACCGGAGAAUGUUAUCACGGGAGACACACGGCGGGUGCUAACGUCCGUCGUGAAGAGGGAAACAACCCAGACCGCCAGCUAAGGUCCCAAAGUCAUGGUUAAGUGGGAAACGAUGUGGGAAGGCCCAGACAGCCAGGAUGUUGGCUUAGAAGCAGCCAUCAUUUAAAGAAAGCGUAAUAGCUCACUGGUCGAGUCGGCCUGCGCGGAAGAUGUAACGGGGCUAAACCAU